CUGUGCGAACAGUUGCGAAUGACGCGAAACGGAAAGUUUUCCGCCUCUUGCAUUGAUCAAAGAUCACAACUUUCUUUUAAAAUCCACACUAGUCGUGAAGUGAUUAAAGUUUCUGUUUGAAUUGACUUGGGCUGUGCCGAUUGAUCAUUGAACGUAGAAUAAAAUCUGGAGAAUUCUUUCUGCAGCUGAUCGAAGAUUAUGAUGCUAUUUCUGAAACAGAGAUUUUAAAAAUUUCUCAAAAUUUUUAUUAUAUUUUUAUAUAUUAAAGAAAAAAAGAGGUAUUGUUAAAUAUUGUUUUGAUUUAAUCUAUUUUUAUUUUUUUUUAUAACUAAGAAUUUAAAAUAAAAAUAAAAAUUGUAUGCUAAGUCAUGUUAGUUAAUAAUUUAAUUAAAUUCUUAUUGUGAAACUUCAUAAAACCUUUAUCAAUGAUAUAAAUAUUAGAAAUUAUAAAUAUUUGGUUAUUAUAAAAAAUUAAGAAAAAUUUUUUAAUUUUUGCAACUAUUGUAG